rnacentral:rRNA from 1 species
UGGGGAAUAUUGCACAAUGGGCGAAAGCCUGAUGCAGCAAUGCCGCGUGUGUGAAGAAGGCCUGCGGGUUGUAAAGCACUUUCGGUAGGGAAGAUAAUGACGGUACCUACAGAAGAAGCACCGGCUAACUCCGUGCCAGCAGCCGCGGUAAUACGGAGGGUGCGAGCGUUAAUCGGAAUUACUGGGCGUAAAGCGCGGGCAGGCGGUCUGUUAAGUCGUUUGUGAAAAUCCGGGGCUCAACCCCGGAAAUGCAUACGAUACUGGCAGGCUGGAGACUGGUAGAGGCUAGCGGAAUUCCUGGUGUAGCGGUGGAAUGCGUAGAUAUCAGGAAGAACACCUGUGGCGAAGGCGGCUAGCUGGGCCAGUUCUGACGCUGAUCCGCGAAAGCGUGGGGAGCAAACAGGAUUAGAUACCCACGUAGUCCCUGAGCGGGCUGGCAAGGCGCAU